rnacentral:lncRNA from 1 species
UGGUUUAUUGGUUAUGUGUAUUGCUUGUGUGGGAGAGAUUCUGGGUUCGAAUUCUUUUCUAUUUCGUGCGUAAAGAUUCAAACACAAAAUUAAAGAGUAAGCUGAAGCCUUGCAUAUAGUAGUUCAAAAAUAGGGGUUAGGACAAAAAAAACAAAAAUUCAAGGUUUUAAGCGGGUCUAAUUUUUUUGCCCAAGCUCCUUUUUUGGGCUUAAUAUUUAUUUAAAUUUCAAACAAGUCUUCGAGUCUGG